rnacentral:lncRNA from 1 species
UGAGAGGCCACACCUGGGACACCGCCCAGUUCCCCUCUGCCUGGUCCAAAGGAGGACUUUGGAGGACUCUGAGAAGGACUUAUCUAACAGAGAAUCCUGAGUGGGAACUUCUGGGGCCUCUCGAGGGAAGAUGGUCAUGGCGGGUGGGGUCAUCCUGGGUUUCAGCUCAUCAUCCAUCUUGGAGAAAGAUGCAUAUCUUAAUGGAGGUUGAGACUCUUUACAAAAGAAGCCCAAAUAACCCAAGUCGGCUUCCCCACAUCCAGGGGUAGAGCUCAGUCUCCUCUUCUCUUGCUCCCUGCAACCUUAAAAAUGGGUGGUGGCAACCACUUUCUUCCUGUGAGGACAGGUGACUGAGAGUCAUCGCCCCCCAUCUUCCCGGUAACCCAUUGCCCCUGUCUCAUGAGUAAACAUCACGUCAACCCCAACAAAAGGGCCUCCUGCAAAAUCCCUGACCAAGGGACAUGACUAAGUACCAUGUGGGGUGGUUGUGGUCUGGAUCUGGAUUGUCCCCCAAUAUGUUAUGUUUUUUUUUCCCCAGGGGAACUCUAGUGGACUGUGGACAAAAAACCUCAAACUGUGAGCCCAAACAUUUUUCCUCUAAGCUUUUUCUCAGCUGUUUUGUCAUAGCAAUGAAAAGCUGACUGACACAGGAGUCCUGGAAGAGACCUUACAGAAAACACAGAACACAGGUGUAAAAAGUGGUGCAUCCAACUGAAGACUGCCGUUAACGGGAAUGUACUGUGGUUGGUCUUGGUUUUGGUGACGGUUCUGUGAAAGAUGUUAACGUUAGGGGUGAGGGCUAUUGAGGACUCUGUAUUAUCUGUAAAUCUAAAAUAAU